AGCCCCGAUCACUUUCCGAUACAGGUCUAUCGUUCAUUAAUCAUUAUCUGUAAUUUAUUAUUAAUUUAACAACACGUUAAUGAAUUUAAUGAUUGUGGCUGCUGUGUACCGCGCUUGGAUUUGGAAAAGCGCGGUCGUCGAAUAGUUCAGAAGAAAACGAAACGAAACAAAACGAAUGAAAAGUAUAAGUUAGCAGGUCUUCGCGGGUGCAGCUGGUCAGACACGGCAGGAGAGCAAGUGAGACAUUUUUUUUUCGUGGGGGAUCUGCAAGCAAUGGUUUUGAGUCGGAUUGAUACAUCCC